rnacentral:rRNA from 1 species
GACGAACGCUGGCGGCGCGCCUAACACAUGCAAGUCGAACGGAGUUGUGUUGAAAGCUUGCUGGAUAUACAACUUAGUGGCGGACGGGUGAGUAACACGUGAGUAACCUGCCUCUCAGAGUGGAAUAACGUUUGGAAACGAACGCUAAUACCGCAUAACGUGAGAAGAGGGCAUCCUCUUUUUACCAAAGAUUUAUCGCUGAAAGAUGGUCUCGCGUCUGAUUAGCUAGUUGGUGAGGUAACGGCUCACCAAGGCGACGAUCAGUAGCCGGUCUGAGAGGAUGAACGGCCACAUUGGGACUGAGAUACGGCCCAG